rnacentral:sRNA from 2 species
CUUUUUGCUACACCCUCACGACUAAUGACAACACUUAAUUCCCUUAAGCACUCUCAUUAGCCGCGCGAGUCCCUGUAACGGAAGAGGUUAAAAUUUCAGAAACAGAACUUAAGUUUUUAACGUUCCGCUUCCUAGAAGAAAAGGGGCCCUAUUAGGCCCCUUUUC